AUCACAUUCGAGGACAUCCGAUAAAAUUGAAACCAUUAUAGAGAAGAUUUGCCCCUACGCAAGGAUGACACACAAAUGGAGAAAUGGUAUCAGAGCCUAU